AAUAGAUACCCGGGUAGUCCAUGCCGUAAACGUUGGGCACUAGGUGUGGGGGACAUUCCACGUUUUCCGCGCCGUAGCUAACGCAUUAAGUGCCCCGCCUGGGGAGUACGGCCGCAAGGCUAAAACUCAAAGGAAUUGACGGGGGCCCGCACAAGCGGCGGAGCAUGCUGAUUAAUUCGAUGCAACGCGAAGAACCUUACCAAGGCUUGACAUGCACUGGACGGCUGCAGAGAUGUGGCUUUCUUUGGACUGGUGCACAGGUGGUGCAUGGUUGUCGUCAGCUCGUGUCGUGAGAUGUUGGGUUAAGUCCCGCAACGAGCGCAACCCUCGUUCUAUGUUGCCAGCACGUGAUGGUGGGGACUCAUAGGAGACUGCCGGGGUCAACUCGGAGGAAGGUGGGGACGACGUCAAAUCAUCAUGCCCCUUAUGUCUUGGGCUUCAAGCAUGCUACAAUGGUCGGUACAAUGGGUUGCGAAACUGUGAGGUGGAGCGAAUCCCAAAAAGCCGGCCUCAGUUCGGAUUGGGGU
rnacentral:rRNA from 1 species